GUGACAUUUGUUGUUUAUAGAUUUUUCGCCCACAGCAGAUGUCUAGACCCUGGACACAUAACAGAAGAAGGAGAGAGGGACCCUAAGAGGGACCCUAGGAGGGACGUAAAGGAGAGAAAAAUCCUGUUAAGACAGACAAUCAGAUGGUAUGGCCUCUGAGGACCCCCAUGACCAACUGGACGAGGCCAUUAACGAGGCAAAAGGGCUGGCUGAGGAGCUCAACCCAGAACCAGUAAUGUAACAAGUCGUACAUUACCGCUCCAAGGGCCAGUACAUCAAGAGACAGACUAGUGCAACAUUUUGGGCCAGUCACUGAGGAGGAAGAAUCAGG